AGUUAGAGGCGUAGGGUACAGAGGUAAGAUGUUCUAUCUUUCAGACCUUUUACUUCACGUAAUCGGAUUUGGCUGAAUGUUAGCCGCCCCGGUCAGUUUUCUGACCGGGGCGUUUUUUA
rfam:Serratia sp. ATCC 39006 ctg2, whole genome shotgun sequence.